rnacentral:rRNA from 1 species
UACGUAGGUGGCAAGCGUUAUCCGGAUUUAUUGGGCGUAAAGGGAACGCAGGCGGUCUUUUAAGUCUGAUGUGAAAGCCUUCGGCUUAACCGGAGUAGUGCAUUGGAAACUGGGUGACUUGAGUGCAGAAGAGGAGAGUGGAACUCCAUGUGUAGCGGUGAAAUGCGUAGAUAUAUGGAAGAACACCAGUGGCGAAAGCGGCUCUCUGGUCUGUAACUGACGCUGAGGUUCGAAAGCGUGGGUAGCAAACAGG